GGGAGGGCGAGGAGCAAAUGGGCACAUGUUUGUUUGGAGCUACAAGACUCUAUGCUUUCCGGGGGAUUAUGGGAGUUGUAGUCAAUGAGUAAUUUCUUCACGCUCUGUGAGAUGGGCUUUUAGAAGAGCAUCUGAUCGUGUCAACCUUCGCUUUUAUCUUGGCGGGGCAUCCAUUACCACCUGUGGUCGAAAAGCAGCGUGGGAGGGGAGGUGUCGGAGCCCUUCCUUCGGCUAGGGCUGAGUGCCAGUGGCCUGUUGGCCCAAGAAGCUAAGGAGGAUCAAAUCUGAUCAGCACUGGAUGGGAGACCACUCAGUAGGGCCA